UCAGGAUGUCAUUGGGAAGCCUUUCAUUCU
rnacentral:piRNA from 1 species